rnacentral:rRNA from 1 species
UAGUCCACGCCCUAAACGAUGGAUACUAGUUGUCGGAGUUCCUAAUUGCUUCGGUAACGUAGCUAACGCAUUAAGUAUCCCGCCUGGGGAUUACGAUCGCAAGAUUAAAACUCAAAGGAAUUGACGGGGGCCCGCACAAGCGGUGGAGCAUGUGGUUUAAUUCGAUGCUACGCGAAAAACCUUACCCAGACUUGACAUCCCGCGCUACCCUGUGAAAGCAGGGGUUCCCUUCGGGGACGCGGUGACAGGUGCUGCAUGGCUGUCGUCAGCUCGUGUUGUGAGAUGUUGGGUUAAGUCCCGCAACGAGCGCAACCCUCGUCACUAGUUACCAUCAUUAAGUUGGGGACUUUAAGGAGACUGCCGGUGUUAAACCGGAGGAAGGCGGGGAUGACGUCAAGUCCUCAUGGCCCUUACGGGUAGGGCUACACACGUACUACAAUGGCAGAAACAAACCGAAGCGAUAUUGCGAGAUGGAGCUAAACGGUAAAACACUGUCUCAGUCCGGAUUGAAGUCUGCAACUCGACUUCA